rnacentral:sRNA from 1 species
AUCAGAGGGAUACAGGAACGCAGGACACAGGGUUUGGCAUCAUUAUCCUCAUCACUAAAUCCUACAGAGUACAGGGCGGAAAACGGUGCACAC